rnacentral:rRNA from 1 species
UACGUAGGGUCCGAGCGUUGUCCGGAAUUACUGGGCGUAAAGAGCUCGUAGGUGGUUUGUCGCGUUGUUCGUGAAAACUCACAGCUCAACUGUGGGCGUGCGGGCGAUACGGGCAGACUAGAGUACUGCAGGGGAGACUGGAAAUUCCUGGUGUAGCGGUGGAAUGCGCAGAUAUCAGGAGGAACACCGGUGGCGAAGGCGGGUCUCUGGGCAGUAACUGACGCUGGAGGAGCGAAAGCGUGGGGAGCGAACAGG